GUGGUUGUGGCUCAGUGAUAGAGCACUUGCCCAGUAUGUGUGAGGCACUGGGUUCAAUCCUCAGCACCACG
rnacentral:tRNA from 1 species